AGAUUGGGUUCUGAUACUGUUUUGAAAUACUAUUUACCAUAUCUGAUUACUCAUGUUUAUUUACGGGUGUUUAUUGGGUUGUUGAAUUUGGAGUUUGAUGUGAUUCAGUUUAUAAGAGAUGUAAGAUAAAAGCAACGAUUUUCUUUUCAGCUAUUGGAAUUAUUGGGUUUUGAUAUGGGGAGGAAGGGGGUGAAUUUGGGUGGUAGGGAUUUCCAUAAGCAUAUCAAAAGAGGCAGCUAAUACAGUUCGAGAAGAAUCUUAGAACUUAGAAAAGAGCACAUCAGUUGAUAGCAGAAAAGAAGUUUGUCUCUUUCUGUUUUGAAAUCGUGAUUGUCCCAAUAUUUUGAUGGCUUGGAGAUUUAUUUGUCUGGUAUGAAUGUGAAACAAGAAUCAUUUACAAAGUUCCAGUGGUGAUCAUGUGCUCAGAGAACAUCCUCAGUUGAAUCGAUAGAAAAGCAGCUUCCAAGAGCCGUACUUGAAAUCAAGAGCCCAGUUGUGUUCUGAUCAUCAUUAUUAUAUCCUCAGGCUGUUGAGAAGGCUUCACAAACUGAUAAGCUGUUUGUGCUUCUCCAAACAACAUUCAUAAUUUUCCAAAUUAUAGAGUCCAUGCCACCAUUGAAGAUCCAAACAGUGAAGCCACAGUCAAGCUUAGAGGAAAACCAGCUGAACAAUUGUUUGGAAUGACUUGCAGAGAGAACUCAUAAACAGGUACCCUUAUGCUCCACAGGAAACAUUGCCAGAAGAAAUAUUGCAAGCAAAAGGGCAAAUUCACAUUUUCCUAAUCCAAAUCAGUGAAGCAAAUGACUUCAUAGUGAAAGGUAUCUUUCCAAGCACAAAGAAUCAACCUAGUGCCAGCACACCAGCUCAUCCACUGCAUAUGACAAAAACAGAUCCGUCAAUAAAGGAAGAAGACAACUAUUUGCUACCAAUCCAGACAGCUUAUAGGAAGAUUGUGAAUGUUCUGAAUAUGGGUCCUCGACCUAAAUUACGUAAAUUUCAAUUCCCAUGACAAUGUGAUAUCACAAUUUGAAUCAAAGAUGCACAUAAGAGCUGAAGUUUUGACCUUGCUAAGGCAUAAUA